GUUGAACGCUGGCGGCAUGCUUUACACAUGCAAGUCGAACGGUAACAGGACUACGGGUGCUGACGAGUGGCGAACGGGGGAGUAAUGCAUCGGAACGUGCACAGAGGCGGGGGAUAACGCAGCGAAAGCUGUGCUCAUACCGAAUGUGAGCUGAGGAUGAAAGCGGGGGACCAAGCAGCAAUGAUUGGCCUCGCGCCUCUGGAGCGGCCGAUGUCAGAUUAGGUAGUUGGUGGGGUAAAGGCCUACCAAGCCGACGAUAUGUAGCCGGCCUGAGAGGAUGACCAGCCACACUGGAACUGAGACACGGCCCAGACUCCUACGGGAGGCAGCAGUAGGGAAUUUUGGACAAUGGGCGAAAGCCUGAUCCAGCAAUGCCGCGUGAGGGAUGAAGGCCUUCGGGUCGUAAACCUCUGUUGUACGGAACGAAAAUGCUUGGGCGAAUACCUGGAGCUGAUGACGGUACCGAAUGAAUAAGCACCGGCUAACUACGUG
rnacentral:rRNA from 1 species